UAGGGAAUCUUCGGCAAUGGGGGCAACCCUGACCGAGCAACGCCGCGUGAGUGAAGAAGGUUUUCGGAUCGUAAAGCUCUGUUGUAAGUCAAGAACGGGUGUGAGAGUGGAAAGUUCACACUGUGACGGUAGCUUACCAGAAAGGGACGGCUAACUACGUGCCAGCAGCCGCGGUAAUACGUAGGUCCCGAGCGUUGUCCGGAUUUAUUGGGCGUAAAGCGAGCGCAGGCGGUUUGAUAAGUCUGAAGUUAAAGGCUGUGGCUCAACCAUAGUUCGCUUUGGAAACUGUCAAACUUGAGUGCAGAAGGGGAGAGUGGAAUUCCAUGUGUAGCGGUGAAAUGCGUAGAUAUAUGGAGGAACACCGGUGGCGAAAGCGGCUCUCUGGUCUGUAACUGACGCUGAGGCUCGAAAGCGUGGGGAGCGAACAGGAUUAGAUACCCUGGUAGUCCACGCCGUAAACGAUGAGUGCUAGGUGUUGGAUCCUUUCCGGGAUUCAGUGCCGCAGCUAACGCAUUAAGCACUCCGCCU
rnacentral:rRNA from 1 species